rnacentral:tRNA from 1 species
UAGCUUAUAAUCUAAAGCAAGACACUGAAAAUGUCUAGAAGAAUCUCUAGGUUCCAUAAACAC